CGGCGCUUGUGAAGGGUUUUCAGGGGCUCCCGACAACUUUACACUCGCAGCUUGGCGAACACCCAUCUGCGUGGAUCUCAAAGCGCAUCAGGAUUCAUUUCCAAGGACCAGUCGUAUUUCACGGACUCCUCUCCGAAGACCCAGGCUGGCAGACAUUGUCACCAACCACGUGGGGAAUUGAAGCAAAGGCCUCUGAAACUGCAAAACCCACUGAAAUGGAUUUUGAGAAGAAUACCCAGGUGUCUGGUGAGGCGGCCUUUCAUUUCCUAUUUUGCAAUGACACUGAGUUUUUCACUUCAUGUACUGAUCU
ensembl:lncRNA